UACGUAGGCAGCAAGCGUUGUUCGGAGUUACUGGGCGUAAAGAGUGCGUAGGCGGUGUCGAAAGUUUGGCGUGAAAUCUCCCCGGCUUAACUGGGGAGGGUGCGCCGAAAACUGCGACGCUGGAGUGUGGGAAAGGCAAGCGGAAUUCCUGGUGUAGCGGUGAAAUGCGUAGAUAUUGGGAGGAACACCAGUGGCGAAGGCGGCUCACUGGACCGGUUCUGACGCUGAGGCGCGAAGCGUGGGGAGCAAACGGG
rnacentral:rRNA from 1 species